rnacentral:rRNA from 1 species
UACGUAGGGUGCGAGCGUUAAUCGGAAUUACUGGGCGUAAAGCGUGCGCAGGCGGUGAUGUAAGACAGUUGUGAAAUCCCCGGGCUCAACCUGGGAAUUGCAUCUGUGACUGCAUCGCUAGAGUACGGUAGAGGGGGAUGGAAUUCCGCGUGUAGCAGUGAAAUGCGUAGAUAUCGGGAGGAACACCAGUGGCGAAGGCGACUACCUGGCCUGUUCUUGACGCUGAGGCGCGAAAGCUAGGGGAGCAACGGG